GCACUACCGGUCAUAGUUUUGAGUCUGAUCGAUAGAAAUCAUUACGGACCUGGUCGGCUAAUCAAGAGCUCUCUCAAAGUGCUGCUUGGACUCCUUGUGAGGGCUGCGAGGCAGGAUGCCAAGGGGAACGGGUUUAGAGCAAUGGAUAGCCUCCACACGGCCUUCAGACCUCUCCAGAAGCCUUUUGUGAAGAAGAUCUCCAAGGGAGGCGCUAAGAAGAAGUGAGACUGGGAUAGGCAGCGCUAUCCACGCCAUGGGGCUCUGCAGCCAGCAAUUCCCUGUCCUGAUCCCACGUUCCUGCUUU